GCUUUACAGAGAUCUUCUUGCAGGGAUGUUCUCGGGAGAGUUCUUGGGGAGGGGCGCAGCUCUGCUGCUCCUGGAUUUCGCUCAGAUCGCAGUGCGGGUUGCAGCCUCUCUGCGCAUGGCCAGCUGCCGCCAUCUUGGAUUAAGCUGUCGUUCGCAGCGUCUCUGCACACUGCGCGAGCUGCGUCAGGCGCAGCCAUUUUUCAGGAGGAGCUCUGGUCUGAAGUGCCUGUUUGAGGCCACUGCAUGGAACACCCUUUGAGCAAGCGAGACUAGAUUAAUCACAAAGGACAAGAAGGAAAUGAACUCCAAGAAAGAAGCUUUCUCUUGCCUUGUUGGAGCCUUUGGGAAGCAUAAGUAGACUGAUGCAGAGAGGAUAACAUGGUCCAGUCCAUGGGCAUCUCCAGCUUGAUCUGAGCAGCAGUUCUUGUUGAUACACCGGGCAGAGCUGAGGCCAGGAGCCUUGUAAGCCGAAAUAUGAACCAGAAGCGCACGGAAUCGCUAGGUUUGCUGCUAAAUCACUUCAGUCGUGUCCCACUCUGUGCAGCCCCACAGCCGGCAGCCCACCAGGCUCCCCCGUCCCUGGGAUUCUCCAGGCAAGAACACUGGAGUGGGUUGCCAUUUCCUUCUCCAAUGCAUGAAAGUGAAAAGUGAAAGUGAAGUCGCUCAGUCAUGU
ensembl:lncRNA